AUGACACCAUCUGAGUAUUGUAAUCAAGACCAGCCAGGUUUCUUAGAUUUAGAUGAACAUCAAAGACAAACCAUUACACAUAAUUCAACCCCAAAAGAAACAUUUUUGGGGCUUCUGUAUAACCCGUCUAUACCUCACCCCUCAGCUGAAGUUACAAUUCAGGAUGACCAGCUUGGGUUAGAGCCUGAGGAGUAUGAAGAUCCCACAGUCAGAUCACAGAAUUCUUCCUAUGAAAAUGAACAAUGGGAGCCAUGUGAAACAUGCAAGCUGGAGGUACAGGCAUUACUUAAAGAGAAUAAGAUGAUGAAAGAUGUGCUUUCCAGCAUGAAUCUUGAACACCUACAGGUACUCAGAGAAUUUAUAGAUAAGAUGGAAGACUACAAAUCACGUGAAAGUGGGGUGCUGAUGCCUCAAACCAGACCUGGCCAACAAGAACUUUACCCAGACAGUGGGCUGCUCUUGUCCUCUACCAAACUAGCAGCUAUUCACCAAGAGUCAAAGAAGGACUGUCUUCGUCUUUUCCAUCUACUGUUUGAUCAGUUCUUCACUCAUGAAGAAUGUUCAAACUCUGUAGCAUUUGGAAAGCAUGGCAAAGUCCCAG
ensembl:lncRNA